CCCUUGCCUGCCCCAUCGGAGCCGCCGGAGGUGGAGUCCGCCCCCCGGACCCCCGAACUCCUGUGCGUGCCCCUCCAUGGUGCUCUAGGCUGUGGAGGGCAAGGCCAGUCCCCGGGAGCAGGGUGAGGAAGGGGCCCCCACGCAGCCCUGCUGUGGAUUGGCGGGAGGACCCCAGGCUGGGCCAACCCAGCAGCCCGCGGCCAGGAGCGGGCAUCCCAAUGGGGAAAUCGGCCAGGAGGGGCUGGGGAAGCUGGUGCCUUCGCCCGCGCCCCGUGAGCUUUACCUCCGUGCGACAAGAGCGGUGGCUCCGGGCGGGGCCCACGCAGCUGGAGCCUCCAUCUCUCCUGCGGGACCAGAGCACCGGGAAGACCUGACCGAGACCCAACGUCCCUGCCCCCGUUCUGGGGCUCUCUGCAGGCCCCAACUUCUGCGGGACUCUCCAGUGGGAGCAGCAAGGGUUCUCAGGAACAACCCCUAUACAAACCGGGACAGAGGCACCUCACUACUCCUUCUGUGCCCCACCUUCUCCACUGACCCUGCCGGAGUGCAGCACACACAGCAAGCAUUUAAUAAAUCGCUUGAAGUGGGGAACAUCUGUACUCGGUAAAGAAACCACAGGAAUUGGGAACUGCCGGUUGAAGAUUAUUUACCAGUUCCAGCAAAAUUGACUGCACCUGCCAUACUGCAGGCCGGUGCAGCAUCAGGAGCUGGAGACCAGGGGCAACAGGCAGCACGCGUGCUCCAGCUCAGAGUGGAAGGCCCUGGGAAAUGGUUUGAUUUCCUGCGCUGAACUGAUGCUGCUUCCAGAAUGAAUCUGCUCCUUGGUGGGUUCUGCUGAUGUGGCCAGUGCUAGCCUAGGCCACGACCACCUAGCCCACCACCCAGAAGGCAGCAUCCCCUGCUCCUGCUUUAACAAGCUGGCCCAUUUUCAUCUCUCCUACCUCUGGGAGUAGCAGGGGCGCUCCCGGAAGCUGACACCCCCUCCACAGGUCCGGCUGCAGGGGCUCCACUGGCUCCAGGGUCCCCAGGUGUCACUCUGCCGCCUCACCUUGGGAGCCUGCAGAAGACAGGACCAUGCAUCAGCAUUGCCCACUCACAGCCUGAGCCCAGAGGCCCCUCCAAAGAUGCUCUGCCUAAAACCCUCCCCUACCCAUCAAGGAGUCUGGGAUUCUCCCUUCCAGGGCCCACCUUUAGGACUCAGCAACACUGCCGGGCACCCCAAAACAUAUUCCUUUUCAGAAUUAGCCUGCUUUCCUCAUAAGGAGCUGAGAGCCAGGCCUGGAGGGCGGGAGCAGGAGCAGCUGGGAAGAGUUUGGAGUUUCAGGGGCCACUGGAGGGGAGGGACCCUACAGCCAGGGGCAGUUUGAGGGUCCAGGCAUUUGUAGGUUAACCGUGAUGUAGGGGAGGGGGGCCUAAAAGAAAAUAAAGGGAAGCAACGUGGGGGGAUCCUGCUAAUCUGGCCGAGACUCCCAGGAGUACCCCAAUAUUCAUCCCCUCCUUCUCCCAUUGUGAGAGAAUGCUUGAAAACUUGACUCAGCUGGGUACCUGGCUGCCCAAAAUUUAAAAAAAAAAUACAUUUCCUGGACUGCCUGCAGCUAACUGUGGCUACAUCACUUAGUUCUCAUCAGUGAGAUGUAAAUACAAGUGUUGGGCAGCUGCCGCAAAUAAUCUCCUCAAGAGAGAGCCUGCGUGAGCCUUUGUCCUUUUCUCCUUCCUCCUGUACUCUUUCAGGCUGUCUGGGAAGCAGAUGUGAUGGCUGGAGUUGGAGCAGCCUUUUAGACUGUGAGGUAACUUGGAAAUAGAGGCUUCAAACAGUGAAGCAAAGAUAGAGGGACUCUAGAGCCUGGAGGAUUUUGUGCAACAGAAUAGCCCCAGACUUCUGACCCCUGGGUGUUUAUAUGAGAGAGGAAUCAUGUCUGUCUUAUUGAAGAACUGUUAUUUGGGACUCUACACAGGAUUAUAAUCCUAGCAGGUACACUUUCCCACCAGAAAGAUUGGACCCCUUGCAGCUGGCAUCAGGAAUCCACAUGCCACACACACAUUAUCUCAUUUCAUCCUCACAACAACCCGACAGACCCCAUUGCAUGAAUAAGAAAAGUGAGGCAGAGAGAGGAAACCACAGGGGAAGAAGUGGGCACAGUAGCCGGCCAGCCUCACUGCAGUCCUCUGCUCCCCUGCCGAGGCUGUGCCCCCACCCACCUGGGGGAAUCAAAUGAGACACUAGAUGAUUCCCUACAGGGUUGGACAGGGAUUAGAUGUAACUUCACAAUUUUCCCAGGAGGCAUAUGGUGUACAUGCAAACAUUUGCUGGAAGGGGACUUUCUUUUAGGGUAUCACCACUUAAGACUCAAGGAAAAAUACCAUUCCCACUUUUCAGAGAAAGAGCUCAAUGGUCACACAGAAAAGCAGCCGGGCACGGUGGCUCAUGCCUGUAAUCCCAGCACUUUGAGAGGCCAAGGCAGGCAGAUCACCUGAGGUCAGGAGUUCGAGACCAGCCUACCCAACAUGGCGAAACCCCGUCUCUACUAAAACUACAAAAAAUUAGCCAGGCGUGGCGGCGGGUGCCCGUAAUCCCAGCUAGUCGGGAGGCUGAGGCAGGAGAAUUGCUUGAACCCGGGAGGUGGAGGUUGCAGUGAGCCGAGAUUGCAUCACUGCACUCCAGCCUGGGCGACAGAGUGAGACUCCAUCUCAAAAAAAGAAAAGAAAAGCAGGCUCUUGCUUUCAUGGUGACCCCUGAGCAGCUUCGCUGAAUCUCAGGUGAGGAAGGACGUUUACUCAUCUCUAACAUCCCUGGUGCCAAACAUCUAGUUAUCCUUGUCUUAUAACAAAACCCAGAACACUGAAGCAGAACAAACCACGCACAAACCACGCUAAGCCUGCCGAACCACACACAACCAAGAAGGAAGGGCUUGCCAGAUGAGAGGUCUUAGCUUUCACUUUGUAAAAUAUCUACUCCUUCAAGUCUAACUUGGACAAAAAUCUCUAAGCUUUCGAAACCACUGAGCCAAAAUAUCAAAGUUUUCUCUGAAUGAAAGUUAAACUGAAAUUUA
rnacentral:lncRNA from 1 species